AACAGAUCAUAUGACUGACGGAAGUGGGAGAACCACGUGGAGUAUGAUUUUGUAAUUGCCGACCGUCUGGGCACAUUCA
rnacentral:ncRNA from 2 species